GUCACCAUUGAGUUUAUGAUUGUGACGAUGUUACUUAAAGCAUGGCUCCUAUUACUCCUGGCGUGUGCGUUCGCCGCAAGCCUUGGCGAGGCCAAGCGAGUGGUCCACCGCCACCGUCGUCCGUCGCCACGACAUCCAGUAAUCCUGGUCAACAAGGUGCCUCGUGUCAAGGUCGCCAAUAGGGUCCUAAUGUCACCACGUCGACAUAAACACUAAUGCGAUGACGUCACAACCAGCCAAUAUGAUAUAAAUAUAUUUCUCCAUCUGUA